GGAGAAUCAGGACCAAUGUUUGCUGCUGCAGUAAAGAACCUAUCAGAACACUGAGUUGAAUGGUGUUCUAAAUGACAUCAUAAGAGACAGACUAGAAUGUGGCUACGGAGUGAAGAUACACUAAAGAGACUGUUGACUGAGGGUCAUCUGACCUUGGUGAAGGACAUUGAAAUCACUGUGUUCAUGGAACUAGCUGCUGAAGAGGAGUUCAUCAGGAACUUAGUGGGUUCAUCUAACAAUCCUAAUCACCAGCUGAUACAUUAUAAUCUCAUUAAACAGGGUUCACCUUCCUCCUAGAAAACAGUAGUCAACAGUAUUGUUUCUCUAGAUGUAAAAUCAUUCCUGCUGCUAUUUGGUCUUAUCUGUUUUCCUUUAAAAUAAUUAAAAAGUUGAUCACAAAAAAAAGGAAAAGUGCACAGGAAAAGAGUUUCAAAUGAAAAUCAGAGAGUUUCAGUCACAUGCUUCCACUGUGGGAAGGUGGGACAUCAGGCUUCUACAUGCUGAGGUAAGGACAUGGUCCAGCCUGUGGUAUAAAGGGACAUCAGGCUUCUUUCUACAUGCUGAGGUAAGGACAUGGUCCAGCCUGUGGUAUAAAGGGACAUCAGACUUCUCCAUGCUGAGGUAAGGACAUGGUCCAGCAUGUGGUAUAAAGGGACAUCAGACUUCUCCAUGCUGAGGUAAGGACAUGGUCCAGCCUGUGGUAUAAAGGGACAUCAGGCUUCUACAUGCUGAGGUAAGGACAUGGUCCAGCCUGUGGUAUAAAGGGACAUCAGGCUUCUACAUGCUGAGGUAAGGACAUGGUCCAGCCUGUGGCACAGUGGGACAUCAGGCUUCUAACAUGCUGAGGUAAGGACAUGGUCCAGCCUGUGGCACAGUGGGACAUCAGGCUUCUAACAUGCUGAGGUAAGGACAUGGUCCAGCCUGUGGGAAGGUGGGACAUCAGGCUUUUACAUGCUGUGGUCCAGCCUGUGGGAAGGUGGGACAUCAGUCUUCUACAUGCUGAGGUAAGGACAUGGUCCAGCCUGUGGUAUAAAGGGUGUUAGAGGAAAUUAUAGUUGAAAUGAUUAAUUAUGUAUACAUUUUUAAUUAGAACCAUUUAUUCUAAUACUAUUAUGUUAUGGUAUGAAAAGUAUGGGUUCUUGGUUAAGCUGUUACUGAAAAUGUAAGUAAAAACGAAUUAAUUGUCUGUACCUUGCAGGUUUAAGGGGGAGAGAGGAUAUAGCUUUUCAGACAUAUAAGAAUGUCUGGUUUAUGAGGAGAGUAGAAAACAUCUCAGAACCUAAAGACACUGGGCUAUUGCGAGAAUCGGAGAGAGUGUGAGAAACUGAUGAUGUCAUUUUCAGUUUAUAACCUGUGGAAAUAUGUGUAUGUGGGAGUGCUCUCUUGAAAUAAACACUGUUACCUUGG